AUCAGCGUUGGUUAAAUGAUUGAUUCCUCCAUGCUCCAUUUGCUGGGAUGUGUUCUGAUUGGCUAAAGUUAUGGAUCAGUCGAUCAGAUUUUAAUCAGAUUUUUUUUCAUGCUUUCAGCCGGUGUUCUCCUCAUCAGGUGAUUUGAGUAUCCCGUUCAGAGGUCAGCUGGUUAAUGGGCUGAGCGUUGGACGCAGCAUCAUCAUCAAAGGAGAAACCAAUCAGAACGCAGAGAGUUUCUGCGUGAACCUGCGGCCAGCGACUGGGUCCGACAUCGCUCUCCACCUGAACCCUCGCUUGAAGAAGCGCGUCUUUGUCAGGAACUCCUUUCUGUCCGACUGCUGGGGUCAUGAGGAGACAGUGCUCGCCUCCUUCCCCUUUACUGCGGGGCAAUACUUUGAGAUGAUCAUCCGCUGCGACUCGCAGCACUUCAGAGUUGCCAUGAAUGGGCAGCACCAGCUCGAUUACAAACACCGCAUGAAGGAGCUGAGCGCCAUCAACCAGGUGGAGGUGAAAGGAGAUGUGACGCUGCUCGCCGUGAGAGUCCUCUGAGCACCUCCUCGCCAUCAUGAACACCAAGCCAUAGAAAAAAAUAAAAUCACUGACGCCUCCUCCGUAACCAUUUAA